GGGCCUGGCGGGUGCUUAUACUUGCAGUCGAGCGAGUCCCUUCGGGGGCUAGCGGCGGACGGGUGAGUAACACGUAGGCAACCUGCCUCUCAUACUGGGAUAACAUAAGGAAACUUAUGCUAAUACCGGAUAGGUUUUUGGAUCGCAUGAUCUGAAAAGAAAAGAUGGCUUUUCACUAUCACUGGGAGAUGGGCCUGCGGCGCAUUACCUAGUUGGUGGGGUAACGGCCUACCAAGGCGACUAUGCGUAGCCGACCUGAGAGGGUGACCGGCCACGCUGGGACUGAAACACGGCCCAGACUCCUACGGGAGGCACCAAUAGGGAAUUUUCCACAAUGGACUAAAGUCUGAUGGAACAACCCCGCGUGAACGAUGAAGGUCUUCGGAUUGUAAAUUUCUGUUGUCAGGGACUAAUACGUACCGUUAAAACAGGGCGGUACCUUGACGGUACCUGACGAGAAAGCCACGGCUAACUACCUGCCAUCACCCGCGGUAAUACGUAGGUGGCAAGCGUUGUCCGGAUUUAUUGGGCGUAAAUCGCGCGCAGGCGGCUAUGUAAGUCUGGUGUUAAAGCCCGGUGCUCAACCCCGGUUCUCAUCCGAAACUGUGUAGCUUGAGUGGAGAAAAUGAAAGCGGUAUUCCACGUGUAGCGUUGAAAUGCUUACAGAUGUGGACGAACACCUAUGGCGAAGGCCGCUUUCUGGUCUGUACCUGACGCUGAGGCGCGAAAGCGUGGGGAGCAAACAGGGAUGAGAUACCCUGGUAGUCCACGCCGUAAACGAUGAGUGCUAAGUGUUGAGGGUUACAUUACACUCAGUUCCGCACCUUACGCGCUAAGCACUACCGCCUGGGGCAGUACCCCCUGCGAGGAGUGCAACCUCCAAAGGAUUUAGACUGGAGAGCCCAGUCACAGCGGGUGGCAGCCAUGUGCGUUUGAAUUCUAGUCGAUCUGCAAUACAACCCUACCAGGAUCUAUGCUUUCCCGCUGAUCGACAUUCGGAUACAGAGCCUCCCAUUCGGACAUUCGCUGUACAGAGCUGCAUUGACUGUCGUCGACUCGUGUCUGCAACUGCUGCUAGAUCCGCACGUAGCCACCCUAACUUCAAUGCUUGCUUCAGUUGGCACUUAUGACGCUCAGAUCGGACAGCUGACUCGAGUCAUAGUCCAUG
rnacentral:rRNA from 1 species